UACGAAGGGGGCUAGCGUUGCUCGGAAUCACUGGGCGUAGAGCGCACGUAGGCGGCUUACUAAGUCAGGGGUGAAAUCCUGGAGCUCAACUCCAGAACUGCCUUUGAUACUGGUGAGCUUGAGUCCGGAAGAGGUGAGUGGAACUGCGAGUGUAGAGGUGAAAUUCGUAGAUAUUCGGAAGAACACCAGUGGCGAAGGCGGCUCACUGGACUGGUAUUGACGCUGAGGUGCGAAAGCGUGGGGAGCAAACAGG
rnacentral:rRNA from 1 species